UAUUUAAAAAUUGUUUUUAAAGCCUUAAUUGGUGAGCCCGUGGGGCCCACCUUGUUUUAUUUAUUGUGUGUUUCCCGGUCUCCCUCUUCCCUAUCUCAGUUCUCUCUCCACUCACCCGAGCUCUCUCUCCCUCGUCUCUCUCUUUCUCGUCCUCCCAUGAGCACAUACCCAUCACCACACCACCAUCUCCGACGUCAACGGCGUCGUCAUCAUCAUCAUCAGUUCGUUUUCUCUCUCUCUCAGUUGCUGCGAGGACAGCAAAAACCAGUACUCGAGCUCCGACACAAACCGACGCCUUUCGAGGCCAUUUCCGGCCAAACCACGGCGGGUUGGCCGGCGUGCAAGUUUCCGGCGAGUCCGACGGCUUUCGAGGCGUUUUCCGGCCAAACCACGGCGAGUUAGACGUCGUGUGAGGGGCAAUUAUUGUUGACGUUUUCUUGUUCGUUAGUUUGCGUGGCUCUUCGGCGGCUAAGUACUGAUUUAGGAUCGAGGCAUACAAUCCCGGCAUCCAGGCAC